GACGAACGCUGGCGGCGUGCUUAGCACAUGCAAGUCGGACGGAAAGGCCCUGCUUUUGUGGGGUGCUCGAGUGGCGAACGGGUGAGUAACACGUGAGUAACCUGCCCUUGACUUUGGGAUAACUUCAGGAAACUGGGGCUAAUACCGGAUAGGAGCUCCUGCUGCAUGGUGGGGGUUGGAAAGUUUCGGCGGUUGGGGAUGGACUCGCGGCUUAUCAGCUUGUUGGUGGGGUAGUGGCCUACCAAGGCUUUGACGGGUAGCCGGCCUGAGAGGGUGACCGGCCACAUUGGGACUGAGAUACGGCCCAGACUCCUACGGGAGGCAGCAGUGGGGAAUAUUGCACAAUGGGCGGAAGCCUGAUGCAGCAACGCCGCGUGCGGGAUGACGGCCUUCGGGUUGUAAACCGCUUUCGCCUGUGACGAAGCGUGAGUGACGGUAAUGGGUAAAGAAGCACCGGCUAACUACGUG
rnacentral:rRNA from 1 species